rnacentral:rRNA from 1 species
CAGCAGCCGCGGUAAUACGGAGGGCGCGAGCGUUGUCCGGAUUCACUGGGCGUAAAGCGUGCGCAGGCGGCCCGUUAAGACAGGUGUGAAAUCCCUGGGCUCAACCUAGGAAUUGCGCUUGUGACUGGCGGGCUCGAGUACGGUAGAGGGGGGUGGAAUUCCUGGUGUAGCAGUGAAAUGCGUAGAGAUCAGGAGGAACACCGAUGGCGAAGGCAGCCCCCUGGGCCUGUACUGACGCUCAUGCACGAAAGCGUGGGGAGCAACCAGGAUUAGAUACCCUGGUAGUCCACGCCCUAAACGAUGGGUACUAGCCGUUUGGUGCGCGAUAGCGCUGAGUGGCGAAGCUAACGCGUGAAGUACCCCGCCUGGGGAGUACGGCCGCAAGGUUGAAACUUAAAGGAAUUGGCGGG